UCGUUGGUUUGGGCCUCUCUGAAGGGCAGC
rnacentral:piRNA from 1 species